AAAAAAAAAAAAAAAAAAAAGACGCGUGGAGGAUGAAGAAGAAGCAACACAACAAAAAGCAAGGGUAUUCUAUUUCUAUCCAAGAGAGUGAGACACGGAAAGAGAUCUAUUCUAUUUCUUCCUUCUCGAGUGAGAUAAGAUAAACUCAAAAAUGUCAGAUGGGUAAAGAGAGCGCGAGCUACAAGCAGAGAGAUGAGUCCAAAAAAGCUCCCAUUCAAUUACAGCUUGCAAUACGGG
rnacentral:misc_RNA from 1 species